rnacentral:rRNA from 1 species
ACUCAAUAGAUACCCUGGUAGUCCAUGCCGUAAACGUUGGGCACUAGGUGUGGGGACAUUCCACGUUUUCCGCGCCGUAGCUAAACGCAUUAAGUGCCCCGCCUGGGGAGUACGGCCGCAAGGCUAAAACUCAAAGGAAUUGACGGGGGCCCGCACAAGCGGCGGAGCAUGCGGAUUAAAUUCGAUGCAACGCGAAGAACCUUACCAAGGCUUGACAUGGACCGGAUCGCUGCAGAAAUGUGGUUUCUCCUUUUGGGGCCGGUUCACAGGAGGUGCAUGGUUGUCGUCAGCUCGUGUCGUGAGAUGUUGGGUUAAGUCCCGCAACGAGCGCAACCCUCGUUCCAUGUUGCCAGCACGUGAUGGUGGGGACUCAUGGGAGACUGCCGGGGUUCAACUCGGAGGAAGGUGGGGACGACGUCAAAUCAUCAUGCCCCGUUAUGUCUUGGGCUUCACGCAUGCUACAAUGGCCGGUACAAAGGGUUUGCGAUACUGUGAGGUGGAGCUAAUCCCAAAAACGCCGGUCUCAGUUCGGAUUGGGGUCUGCAAC